GAUGAAGCGGAGGCCAGGUACAGAGCACACACUGGAAUCAGCUCAGUGUAGAGAGUAUGUGCUAUACUGACCUUUCUAUAGCAUCUGCAGUGGGAGUCACAGAGGAUGUAGAAUGUAGCAGGCUUUUCUCAAUCAAGUUGAAGUGAAAACCUCAGGAACACAAUUAAGAGGAAGAUGGAUGAUCCCAUGCCAUCAAACCAAGCUAAACUGCUUGUAUUUUUGCAGCAGGAGUGGCAUAAAGUUAUCCAAAAGCAGUGUGUAAGACUGAUGGAGGAAAACAUGCCAAGAUGAUAAAAACUGUGAUUAAAAACCAGGCUUAUUUCACCAACUAUUGAUUUCUGAACUCUUAAAACUUUAUGAAUAUGAACUUGUUUUCUUUGCAUUAUUAAAGUCUAUAAGCUCUG